UACACUCCUACGGGAGGCAGCAGUGAGGAAUAUUGGACAAUGGGUGGAAGCCUGAUCCAGCCAUCCCGCGUGCAGGAAGACGGCCCUAUGGGUUGUAAACUGCUUUUAUCUGGGGAUAAACCUACUUACGUGUAAGUAGCUGAAGGUACCAGAAGAAUAAGCACCGGCUAACUCCGUGCCAGCAGCCGCGGUAAUACGGAGGGUGCAAGCGUUAUCCGGAUUUAUUGGGUUUAAAGGGUCCGUAGGCGGACUGAUAAGUCAGUGGUGAAAUCCGACAGCUUAACUGUCGAACUGCCAUUGAUACUGUUAGUCUUGAGUGAGGUUGAAGUGGCUGGAAGAAGUAGUGUAGCGGUGAAAUGCAUAGAUAUUACUUAGAACACCAAUUGCGAGGGCAGGUCACUAAGUCUUAACUGACGCUGAUGGACGAAAGCGUGGGGAGCGAACAGGAUGAGAUACCCUGGUAGUCCCAUGA
rnacentral:rRNA from 1 species